rnacentral:rRNA from 1 species
GACGAACGCUGGCGGCGUGCCUAAUACAUGCAAGUCGAACGAGUGGCGGACGGGUGAGUAACACGUGGGAACCUACCCAUCAGAGGGGGAUAACACUUGGAAACGGUAGCUAAUACCGCAUACUAUCAGAUGAGCCUAGGUCGGAUUAGCUAGUUGGGGGGGUAAAGGCCUACCAAGGCGACGAUCCGUAACUGGUCUGAGAGGAUUAUCAGUCACACUGGAACGGAGACACGGUCCAGACUCCUACGGGAGGCAGCAGUGGGGAAUAUUGCACAAUGGGCGCAAGCCUGAUGCAGCCAUGCCGCGUGUAUGAAGAAGGCCUUCGGGUUGUAAAGUACUUUCAGCGGGGAGGCGUUACCCGCAGAAGAAGCACCGGCUAACUCCGUGCCAGCAGCCGCGGUAAUAC